GCAAGUCGUACGCGAAAGAUUUUCUUCGGGGGAUCGAGUAGAGUGGCGCACGGGUGAGUAACGCGUAAGUUAUCUACCCUCCCAUCUGGAAUAACUCACCGAAAGGUGUGCUAAUACCGGAUACGUUGAUUUAUCAAGAAAGGUGGCCUCUGAUUACGCUACGGUGGGAGGAUGAGCUUGCGUACCAUUAGCAGGUUGGUAGGGUAAUGGCCUACCAAGGCGACGAUGGUUAGCGGGUAUGAGAGGAUGAUC
rnacentral:rRNA from 1 species